rnacentral:lncRNA from 1 species
GGACUCCACAAGUUUCCACUUUAAAAACUGUGGCACUUCUUCUCAUUUUAGAUCUCUUUAAUGUGUCUCCACUGAAGCAAAAAUGAAUUGAUCGAAUACAAAGAAAACUGUAAACAAUCAUAUUUGGCUCCAAAACAUGUCUCAUCUCCUCUAAAGAGGUGAGGACCAAACAUUCUACAUAUGGGAAGAUGUGAGCAUUAAUAGAAACGAGGUGCUCCAACAAUAUAAAGACACCUACUGCACCAGGACCUCCCCCUGGCAAAGACUCUGAGGUCUGUGGUCUGAGUUUACCAUCCAAGAAAGCCCAGUGAAGAGGGUUGCCUGCUGCGAGGCCUGCAGACAUGGUCUAGGGAAGAGAAAUGGACUGAAGAGCGGCCCAGCACUGCCAGCUCUCACCGGCUCCAUCCCACCUGGCUGCCCGCAUUUCUCCUUCAGGGCCAGCCUCAUUCCUGCACAGGGCCUUUGCCCAUGCUCCUCUGCCUCUCCAAAAGUCUUUUUCUUUCCUCAUUCUUUAGAAAUCUCAGGUUUUGUAUAGGUGCCAGCUCCUUUUCAAAAGCUUUCUAAUUCAUCCAACACACAUUUUUCUUCCCUGAAUGCUGUUAUUUACUCUCUGUAGCACACAUGAAGUCUGCAGCUUACCCAUAGAAUAUUUUAGGCCGAAAGGUUAUGCUGCUGAUGAAUUCAGCCGGUCAUUUUACCUGUGUGUUUUAUUGUUUAUAAGCAAGCCACAUUACAUCUGCUUUGGGGGUAAAAUAUAACAACUGUAAAAUAAG